UCUUGGUCAUUUAGAGGAAGUAAAAGUCGUAACAAGGUUUCCGUAGGUGAACCUGCGGAAGGAUCAUUACCGAGUUCAUGCCCUCACGGGUAGAUCUCCCACCCUUUGUAUACCAUACCUUUGUUGCUUUGGCGGGCCGCCUAGCUACUGGCUUCGGCUGGUAAGUGCCCGCCAGAGGACCCAAAACCCUGAAUAUUAGUGUCGUCUGAGUAAAAUUUUAAUAUUUAAAACUUUCAACAACGGAUCUCUUGGCUCUGGCAUCGAUGGAGAACGCAGCGAAAUGCGAUAAGUAAUGUGAAUUGCAGAAUUCAGUGAAUCAUCGAAUCUUUGAACGCACAUUGCGCCCCUUGGUAUUCCGAGGGGCAUGCCUAUUCGAGCGUCAUUAUCACCCCUCAAGCUUCGGCUUGGUGUUGAGGCCUGCUGUAAAGGCACCCUCUAAAAUCAGUGGCAGUGCUGUCAGGCUCUAAGCGUAGUAAUUUCAUCGCUAUAGGGUCCUGGUGGAUACUCGUCAAAACCCCCCCAUUUUUUAAUGAUUGACCUCGGAUUAGGUAGGGAUACCCGCUGAACUUAAGCAUAUCAAUAA
rnacentral:rRNA from 1 species